GGUUAAGCGAAUAAGCGUACACGGUGGAUGCCUAGGCAAUCAGAGGCGAUGAAGGACGUGCUAAUCUGCGAAAAGCGUCGGUAAGGUGAUAUGAACCGUUAUACCCGACGAUAUCCGAAUGGGGAAACCCAGUAUCCAAUGGAUACUAUCAUUAACUGAAUCCAUAGGUUAAUGAGGCGAACCGGGAGAACUGAAACAUCUCAGUACCCCGAGGAAAAGAAAUCAACCGAGAUUCCCUAGUAGCGGCGAGCGAACGGGGAGCAGCCCAGAGUCUUAAUCAAUAGCAGUGUCAGGAGAACGGUCUGGAAAGUCCGGCAGUAAAGGGUGAUAGCCCCGUAUCUGAAGAUGCUGUUAUUGUGAACUCGAUGAGUAGGGCGGGACACGUGUUAUCCUGUCUGAAUAUGGGGGGACCAUCCUCCAAGGCUAAAUACUCCUGAUUGACCGAUAGUGAACCAGUACCGUGAGGGAAAGGCGAAAAGAACCCCGGCGAGGGGAGUGAAAAAGAACCUGAAACCGUGUACGUACAAGCAGUAGGAGCCUCUUUAUGGGGUGACUGCGUACCUUUUGUAUAAUGGGUCAGCGACUUAUAUUCUGUAGCGAGGUUAACCGUAUAGGGGAGCCGUAGGGAAACCGAGUCUUAACUGGGCGAAUGAGUUGCAGGGUAUAGACCCGAAACCCGGUGAUCUAUCCAUGGGCAGGUUGAAGGUUGGGUAACACUAACUGGAGGACCGAACCGACUAAUGUUGAAAAAUUAGCGGAUGACUUGUGGAUGGGGGUGAAAGGCCAAUCAAACCGGGAGAUAGCUGGUUCUCCCCGAAAGCUAUUUAGGUAGCGCCUCGUGAAUUCAUCUUCGGGGGUAGAGCACUGUUUCGACUAGGGGUCAUCCCGACUUACCAACUCGAUGCAAACUGCGAAUACCGAAGAAUGUUAUCACGGGAGACACACGGCGGGUGCUAACGUCCGUCGUGAAGAGGGAAACAACCCAGACCGCCAGCUAAGGUCCCAAAGUCAUGGUUAAGUGGGAAACGAAGUGGGAAGGCUCAGACAGCCAGGAUGUUGGCUUAGAAGCAGCCAUCAUUUAAAGAAAGCGUAAUAGCUCACUGGUCGAGUCGGCCCGCGCGGAAGAUGUAACGGGGCUAAACCAUGCACCGAAGCUGCGGCAGCGACACAAAGUGUUGUUGGGUAGGGGAGCGUUCUGUAAGCCUGCGAAGGUGUACUGUGAGGUAUGCUGGAGGUAUCAGAAGUGCGAAUGCUGACAUAAGUAACGAUAAUGCGGGUGAAAAACCCGCACGCCGGAAGACCAAGGGUUCCUGUCCAACGUUAAUCGGGGCAGGGUGAGUCGACCCCUAAGGCGAGGCUGAAAAGCGUAGUCGAUGGGAAACGGGUUAAUAUUCCCGUACUGGUGGUAACUGCGAUGGGGGAACGGAGAAGGCUAGGUUGUCCGGGCGACGGUCGUCCCGGUUCAAGCAGGUAGGCAGAGUGAUUAGGCAAAUCCGGUCACUUAAUGCUGAGAUGUGAUGACGAACCACCAAGGUGGUGAAGCAAUUGAUGCCCCGCUUCCAGGAAAAGCCUCUAAGCUUCAGGUUACCAACAAUCGUACCCCAAACCGACACAGGUGGUCAGGUAGAGAAUACUCAGGCGCUUGAGAGAACUCGGGUGAAGGAACUAGGCAAAAUGGUGCCGUAACUUCGGGAGAAGGCACGCUGGCGGUAGGUAAAGUCCCUCGCGGACGGCGCCCAAGCCAGUCGAAGAUACCAGCUGGCUGCAACUGUUUAUUAAAAACACAGCACUGUGCAAACACGAAAGUGGACGUAUACGGUGUGACGCCUGCCCGGUGCUGGAAGGUUAAUUGAUGGGGUUAGCCGUAAGGCGAAGCUCCUGAUCGAAGCCCCAGUAAACGGCGGCCGUAACUAUAACGGUCCUAAGGUAGCGAAAUUCCUUGUCGGGUAAGUUCCGACCUGCACGAAUGGCGUAAUGAUGGCCAGGCUGUCUCCACCCGAGACUCAGUGAAAUUGAACUCGCUGUGAAGAUGCAGUGUACCCGCGGCAAGACGGAAAGACCCCGUGAACCUUUACUAUAGCUUGACACUGAACAUUGAGCCUUGAUGUGUAGGAUAGGUGGGAGGCUUUGAAGUGUGGACGCCAGUCUGCAUGGAGCCAACCUUGAAAUACCACCCUUUAACGUUUGAUGUUCUAACCUAGGCCCAUAAACUGGGUCGGGGACCGUGUCUGGUGGGUAGUUUGACUGGGGCGGUCUCCUCCUAAAGAGUAACGGAGGAGCACGAAGGUUGGCUAAGCAUGGUCGGACAUCAUGCGGUUAGUGCAAAGGCAUAAGCCAGCUUGACUGCGAGAGUGACGGCUCGAGCAGGUACGAAAGUAGGUCUUAGUGAUCCGGUGGUUCUGAAUGGAAGGGCCAUCGCUCAACGGAUAAAAGGUACUCCGGGGAUAACAGGCUGAUACCGCCCAAGAGUUCAUAUCGACGGCGGUGUUUGGCACCUCGAUGUCGGCUCAUCACAUCCUGGGGCUGAAGUAGGUCCCAAGGGUAUGGCUGUUCGCCAUUUAAAGUGGUACGCGAGCUGGGUUUAGAACGUCGUGAGACAGUUCGGUCCCUAUCUGCCGUGGGCGUUGGAAGAUUGAGAGGGGUUGCUCCUAGUACGAGAGGACCGGAGUGAACGCACCACUGGUGUUCGGGUUGUCAUGCCAAUGGCAUUGCCCGGUAGCUAAGUGCGGAAGAGAUAACCGCUGAAAGCAUCUAAGCGGGAAACUUGCCUCGAGAUGAGUCUUCCCUGUCACUUUAAGUGACCUAAAGGAACGUUUAAGACUAAGACGUUGAUAGGCUGGGUGUGUAAGCGUAGCGAUACGUUGAGCUAACCAGUACUAAUGAACCGUGAGGCUUAACCUG
rnacentral:rRNA from 1 species